CUAGGUGACACAAAUAUAAAUUUUGUCAGGGUAGCAGUCAUCUUCAGCUGAGACAGCUUUAUUUUUCUAACCGGGUAGUUGGCCUCUGGAACUGCAGUUUGUCUUUGGACGU